rnacentral:rRNA from 1 species
AGAGGUCCUGCGCCGAAAAUGUCCGGGGCUGAAACACGACACCGAAGCUUAGGAACAAAGAAACCAAGGUUUCUAUAUGUUGGUAGAGGAGCAUUGUUAGCGGAACGAAGCCAUACCGGAAGGAGUGGUGGACUGCUAAGAAGAGAGAAUGCCGGAAUGAGUAGCGAGAUUGAAGUGAGAAUCUUCAAGGCCGAAUAUCUAAGGUUUCCAGGGUAAAGCUGAUCUGCCCUGGGUAAGUCGGGACCUAAGGCGAGGUCGGAAGACGUAGCCGAUGGACAACAGGUUGAAAUUCCUGUACUGCGAUAUAUCAGAAAUGUGGGGACACAGAAGGAAAGUGUGAGCCGGGAAAGGAAAGACCGGUGCAAGCACAGGAGGAGAGAUACAGGCAAAUCCGUAUUUCAAUCCAAUGGUGUUACGCGGAGCGAACAAAAGUAGCGAAGCACACAGACCAUCUGUCGAGAAAAGCCGCUAUUGUGUAUACCGUACCCGUACCGUAAACCGACACAGGUGGAUGAGGAGAGAAUCCUAAGGCCGGCGGGAGAAGCAUUGUUAAGGAACUCGGCAAAAUGACCCCGUAACUUCGGGAGAAGGGGUGCUCACGCAAGUGAGCCGCAGAGAACUGGCCCAAGCAACUGUUUAGCAAAAACACAGGUCUAUGCAAAACCGAAAGGUGAGGUAUAUGGGCUGACGCCUGCCCGGUGCUGGAAGGUUAAGAGGAGAGGUUAGCGCAAGCGAAGCUUUGAAUUUAAGCCCCAGUAAACGGCGGCCGUAACUAUAACGGUCCUAAGGUAGCGAAAUUCCUUGUCGGGUAAGUUCCGACCCGCACGAAAGGCGUAAUGAUUUGGGCACUGUCUCGACAAUGCACCCGGUGAAAUUGAAAUACCAGUGAAGAUGCUGGUUACCUGCGCCAGGACGGAAAGACCCCAUGGAGCUUUACUCUAGCUUGAUACUGGGAUUCGGUAUUGCAUGUACAGGAUAGGUGGGAGACUAAGAGGUGAUGACGCCAGUUGUCACGGAGUCGAUGUUGGGAUACCACCCCUGCAGUACUGGGUUUCUAACCUGCGGCCGUGACCCGGCCGGGGGACAAUGUCUGGUGGGGAGUUUGACUGGGGCGGUCGCCUCCGAAAGGGUAUCGGAGGCGCUCAAAGGUUCCCUCAGAAUGGUUGGAAACCAUUCGAAGAGUGCAAAGGCAGAAGGGAGCUUGACUGCGACACCGACGG